rnacentral:rRNA from 1 species
AUGGCCGGGAAGAAGCGGCCCCCGACGGCGCUGGCGGAGCUCGGCCCCGCCGCGUCGGACUCCUCGCAGGACGAGGCCGCGGCGAGGGCGGCGGGCCCGGCGGGGGAGGUGCCGGCGAAGAAGAAGAAGAAGCUGGCCAUGGAGGUCAGGAAGCAGCGGAAGCAGCUCGACAAGGACCGCCACCGCCAGUCCGCGGAGAAGGCCGCCGCCGCCCCCAAGCCGCAGCCCGCGCCUGCACCCGCCGCGGCGGCGGAGGAGGCCGCGGCGGUGGUCCCGGUGCCCGCGCCCGCUCCGGUGGUGGCGGGGCCGGGGCUCCACAUGAAUGUCUUCAGGGACCUGGCGUCGCCGGAGGCCUCGCUGAGGGAGGCCGCGGCUGAGGCGCUGGUGGCCGAGCUCCGGGACGUGCAGAGGGCGUACGAGAAGGAGAAGGCCGCGCGGGAGGAGGGGGAGGGGGAAGAGGGGGAUCGCGACGACGGCCCUUCGCAGAUGAUGGAGGCCGAGAAGGAGGACGGGUUGGAUAACUGCGCGCCCGCCGUGCGGUAUGCCAUCCGGCGGCUCAUCCGCGGUAUCUCUUCCUCUAGAGAGUUUGCAAGGCAAGGAUUUGCGUUGGGUCUCGCAGCUGUGCUCCAAUCAAUUAAAGCGAUCAGCGUCGAAGCCGUUAUGAAGUUGAUACCUGCUUUGCUGGAAUAUUCGGCUUCCAUGAAAGGACCGGAAGCUAAGGACAAUCUUUUGGGGCGCCUCUUUGGAUUCGGAUCACUUGCAAGGUCUGGAAGGGUUUUAGGACAGUGGAAACGUGAUAAGUCUUCUCCUAUUCUCAGGGAUUUUGUUACAGAGGUUGUGCAACUUGGAAAUAAGAAACGAUAUCUCACCGAGCCUGCGGUUGCAUUGAUUCUGGAUUUAACCAGGAAGCUGCCAGAUGAAGCUAUAUUCUCUGAGGUUCUAGAUACCCCUUGUGUACAAGAUUGGUUCAACAGAGCUGCUAAUGUUGGAGAUCCAGAUGCGCUCUUCCUGGCUUUGAAGUUCCAAGAAAGAAGUAAUGUUCAGAGGGAGAUAUUUGGGAAGCUUCUGCCAUAUCCAUUCAGUCUUGACAAUUUUUUCACAGAAGAGCAUCUUCUAUCCCUUGCUGCUUGUUUUAAGGAAUCUGCAUUUUGUCUUCCACGCAUUCAUAGUAUAUGGCAUGUUAUCACGGACAUGCUCAUCCGGGAGGAAGCUUCUCAGAGUGAUAACAAUACGAGUUCUAGCAAAAAGCACAAAAAGAGUAAGAAAGGCAAUUCCUCUGAGGAUUCAAAAAAGAACCUACGCAAUUUCUGUGAGGUUAUUAUUGAAAGAUCAUUGCUGCUCUCAUCUCACGACCGGAAGCAUCUAGCAUUUAAUAUAAUUAUUGAUCUCCUACCAAGACUAUCUCCAUCAUCUAUUCAAGUAAUUCUGUCCAGCAAAGUUGUUCUUGGAUUGAUGGACAUUCUGUCUAAUGCUUCAUCGUGGUUGUACAAUGCCGGUCAACAUUUUCUGAAAGAAUUAGUCAGUUUAGUAAGCAAUGACAAUGAUCGUUGUGUUGCUGUUGUCAUCAACUUGCAGAAGUAUAGCUUUGGAAGAUUUGACAGCCUGACAAAAACAAAAACUGUUAAAGGGUUGAUCGCCAAGAUCCAGAAUGGCCAAGAUUGUUUGCAUCUUGUGCAAAAUUUGAUGGCACUCUUUGUGGAUGAAGGUUCUGUUGCAGAUGAACCAUCUGAUCAAAGUCAGACAACUGAUGAGAAUUCAGAAGUUGGCUCAAUUGAAGAUAAGGAACUUGUUGGCGAAGGGAACGCUGACCUUCUGAAGAGUUGGGUGGUCAAUACAAUUCCAUUUGUCUUGAAAAAUCUGAAGCUUACAUCUAAAGGAAGUUCGCUGACAGAUUCUGAGAUGAUCAAGUGUAUUGAAGAAAAAUUUCAGGUGCAGACUGAGAUACUAAAAUUCUUUGCAGUCCAAGGUCUGUUCUCAGCCUCUUUAGGAACUGAGGUGACAUCAUUUGAGUUGCAAGAGAAGUUCAAAUGGCCAAAGACAGCUAUAUCAACAUCACUUCGCAAUGAAUGCAUUGAACAACUUCAGUUAUUACUAGAAGAUGCACAAAAGGACGAGGCUUUGCAUGUUAGCGGGGUUAAGUCUAAUGACUUAGGCUUCUACUUCAUGCGUUUCAUUAACACUGUGUGCAAUAUUCCUUCAGUUUCACUGUUCAGAACCUUGAGCAGCAAUGAUGAUAAUGCAUUCAAGAAAACACUGGCUACGGAAUCUGCACUUUUCCAGGAGGAAAGAAAAAUUGGCACUGGAUUGGAUUCAACUAAAAUGCACGUGAUACGUUAUCUCCUUAUUCAGUUACUGCUGCAAGUUCUGCUCCAUCCAGAGGAGUUCUGGGAGGCUGCAAUUGAUGUGAUUAUAUGUUGCAAGAAAACAUUUCCUUCAAUUGCUCAGUGCGACAAUUCCAGUGCGCCGGAAUCUGUUGAGGGUGGUACAGAGGAGUCUGAUGAGGAUGGGUCAGAUGAGCCUAAUGAGGAUGGGUCAUUAGAGUCUAUUGAUGUACUUGUGCAGACUUUUCUCUCUGUUUUGCCUCAUGUAUCUGGCCCCGUGUGUUUUGCCAUUGAACAGGUUUUCCGUGUGUUCAGUGAUGAGAUUACAGAAACAGGGCUUCUUGAUAUGCUGAGAGUUGUAAAGAUAGAUUUGAAAGGCUCCCGUCGUCAAACAGAUAGCGAUGAUGAUGAAGAUGAGGCUCGUGUUGAUAUCGAAGAUGAUGAUGAAAUGGAAGAUGCGGAUGUUGGGAAUGUUGAUGAUGCCCCAGAUGAAAUGGAUGAGGAAAUGGAAGAUGAUUCAGCUGAUGAAGUAGACGAGGAUCAGGAUGAUUUGGAAGAAACAGUCGACAAUAAGGCAAAAGAUGGAGAUGAGGCAGAAGCUACCAAAGGUGGGGAAGAUUCAGAUGAUUCAGAUGGUAUGGACGACGAUGCUAUGUUCCGUAUUGAUCCUUAUAUUGCGAGGAUUUUCAAGGAGCGAAACAACCUUCCUGGUAGUGAAACCCAGCAAUCUCAACUUAUGCGAUUUAAGCUUCGCGUGCUUACUUUACUGGAGAUAUAUCUUCAGAGGAAUCCAGGAAAAAAACUGGUGCUGGAUGUGUAUGCUUUCUUAAUGCAAGCUUUUGUGAAAUCACAUAGCGCCGAUGGCAAUGAGCAGUUCAGGCAACGUAUUGGUGGUAUAUUGCAGAAAAGGAUAUUCAAAGCAAAAGAAUGUCCAAAAGGCUUUGAUGUCGAACUUAGUAGACUUGAAAGUUUGCUGCAGAAGGCUCUGCAUCUGGCAUCACGGUCACGAUACAAAGAAGUUGCUUCUGCGGCCCAAAAUGCCACGUUUUGGAUUCUGAAGAUUAUCAAUUCCAAGGGUUGUUCCAAGCAGGAACUUGCAAGUGUGGUCGAUAAGUUCCAGUACAUGCUGAACGACUACUUCAGCAACAAGAAAUCGCGGCUGAAGAUUGGUUUUGUGAAGGAGGCUGUCCGCAGGAACCCCUGGGUAGGACGGGAGCUUUUCGGCUUUGCUCUACAGAAGAUCGGCAGCACCAAGGCUGAAUACCGAAGAGUUCAAACUUUGGAGCUGGUGGACUGCAUAUUGAAAUCCUGGGUCGGCGACGAUGUCUCGAGCGCAUCAAAGGUUUUGAAGAAGCAUAUGGCUCUGCUGUGCGAGCUGAUGCAGGAAAUCCUCACAAAGAUGCCCGAAAACAAGUCGCGUCGCCAGGAGGUGCGUAGAUUCUGCACGCGGGCUCUGCAAACCGUGACGAGGCUCAAUCUGAAAGAGAAGUUUCAGAAGAAGCUAAGCCCGGAAGCCUACACCCUGUGUGAUGCACAGCUGGGAGCUGCAUUUGUUCCCUUCCGACAGUGA